rnacentral:tRNA from 1 species
GGGGCGUUAGCUCAGGGGUAGAGCGCUACCUUCACACGGUAGAAGUCACUGGUUCAAAUCCAGUACGUCCCACCA